UGAGUCGAAUCCGUCACCCUCAGCUUGGCCUUGCUGAAUAACAGUACACUUAUCGCAUCGUCUACGUGGCUCAUUUUUCCCCUAACAAUUAAGCGUUGCAGUCGCGGUUGGGAAACACUGUUAUAAACAAAUCUUUUUGAACCACUCUCCAUUUUGUUGCUAUUUGAUCAUCUUUGCUUGUUCAAAGCUUCUAUUGUGUCACCGUCAGUCCAGUUGAUCGUUAGUUAUCAUCCUUCAAUUAUUAAAUUCAAUACGUUCAAACACUUUUCGAAAACGACAUUCCAUACCAAUCGGAAGCUCAUCAAGCCGAACUGUAAUAAUCUCAUAGUGUUCUUGUAUCAAUCAUCCUGCAAAACAACAUUGUAAAUUCUACGAUAUUAUAAUGGACAUCUCAAUUCCACAACUGCGCGACCAACUGAGCUCCAUUGCCGGAGUAAGAUCGGUCGUGGAUCUACAAGUGUGGUACUGUAUAGGACUGACAGAAAUGAUCGUAAAGUUGAUAGUUGAUCCAACGGCCGACACGGCGAAAGUUUUAGUCUCUGUCAAUGCCAUUGCCCGGGAUGGAUACGACAUUAGGAGAACUCACGUGCAAAUAGAGAGGGUGCAAGAAGAUUGAAAAUAAAACUAUGAACUCUUGUUUGUGAUGUGGUGUUUGUGCCAUUGAAAAAAAAAUCAGGGAAAAAUGAAUAAAAUUUUACAU